AGAGUUGAUCAUGGCUCAGGAUUAACGCUGGCGGCGUGCCUAAUACAUGCAAGUCGAAUGGUAGCAAUACCAUGGCGAACGGGUGAGUAACACGUAGGUAACCUGUCUUUAAGCCGAGGAUAACCAUUGGAAACGAUGGAUAAUACUGGAUAGGACAUUUGAAGGCAUCUUUAGAUGUUUAAAGAUUUAUCACUUAGAGAGGGGCCUGCGGCGCAUUAGCUAGUGGUGAGGUGAAGGCUUACCAAGGCGAUGAUGCGUAGCCGGACUGAGAGGUUGAACGGCCACAAUGGAACUGAGAACGGUCCAUACUCCUACGGGAGGCAGCAGUAGGGAAUUUUCGGCAAUGGGCGGAAGCCUAGACCGAGCAACGCCGCGUGAACGAAGAAGUAUUUCGGUAUGUAAAGUUCUUUUAUUAGGGACGAAAAGACAGAUUGACGGUACCUAAUGAAUAAGCUCCGGCUAACUACGUGCCAGCCGCCGC
rnacentral:rRNA from 1 species